UACACAUGCAGUCGUGCGAGAAAGAUCUUCGGAUAUGAGUAGAGCGGCGGACGGGUGAGUAACGCGUAGGAAUCUACCUAGUAGAAGGGGAUAGCCCGGGGAAACCCGGAUUAAUACCGUAUACCUCCUUCGGGAGAAAGAAGGCCUCUCUUUGAAGCUUUCGCUAUUAGAUGAGCCUGCGUAAGAUUAGCUUGUUGGUGAGGUAAAGGCUCACCAAGGCGACGAUCUUUAGCUGGUCUGAGAGGACGAUCAGCCACAUUGGGACUGAGACACGGCCCAGACUCCUACGGGAGGCAGCAGUGGGGAAUAUUGGACAAUGGGCGCAAGCCUGAUCCAGCCAUACCGCGUGUGUGAAGAAGGCCUUCGGGUUGUAAAGCACUUUAAGCAGGGAGAAAAAGUUAUAAGUUAAUACCUUAUAACCCUGAUGUUACCUGCAGAAUAAGCACCGGCUAAUUCCGUGCCAGCAGCCGCGGUAAUACGGAAGGUGCAAGCGUUAAUCGGAAUUACUGGGCGUAAAGCGCGCGUAGGUGGUUUGUUAAGUUGGAUGUGAAAGCCCUGGGCUCAACCUAGGAACUGCAUCCAAAACUAACUCACUAGAGUACGAUAGAGGGAGGUAGAAUUCAUAGUGUAGCGGUGGAAUGCGUAGAUAUUAUGAAGAAUACCAGUGGCGAAGGCGGCCUCCUGGAUCUGUACUGACACUGAGGUG
rnacentral:rRNA from 1 species